AAAGUUCGUCCUUUAUGUAUGUCAUUUAUUACAAAGUAUGUCCUUUAUCUUUAAUAAGCUCAGAAAACAUACUUAAUGUUUACAAACCCUUGCGUGUUAUGUCCUUUAGCCCUAACUGGGUUAGUUUUUAUAGUUAAAUCUGACCAGGUGGAUCCUACAUGAGGGUAUUUUAGACAUUUUACUCUAAUUACUAAAAUAAACAAUUAUAAAAAAUACUGAUAUAGUUUUUUCUCUUUCUAACUUUCUUACCUUUGUCUGAGUCUCUCUCCCAACCUAACUCUCUCUAUAUAUCAUCAGCCACCACCACUAUCACCUCAACCACCGUCCAUCGCCACCCUCGGCAACAACCACUCGCACCUCAACCACUAUCGUCGGAGAUCUUGGCCGUUGUCGAUCCUCUCUCUAUCACCUACACUCUCCAUCUCCACCAAAAAUCCUAGGGUUUUCGUUUCUCUCACACCUGCUUCUCUCUCUUCUUCAUCGUUCCAAAACUGCUCGAUUCUCCGUCGUUUUCCGUGUUUAACGUUCUCUAGGGCUCCGAAUGCCACCGCAGAGACGUUUGAAGACAAAAAGUGCUGCUCUGCUUCACGACCGGUCUCCGGAUCGGAGUCCGGUUACUCUCAUACAUCAAUUGAUGCUACUGAUCAAGGUUUGAAUGUUUUAUGAUAAAAGGCUGCCGUAGUCGGAGAUCUUGGCCGCUGUCGUUGGAUAUCCAGAAGUGCAGAGAUGGUAUGUUGUGCAAUAAAACUCAAGCAAUAAGAAACCCAAAACCAAAUCAAAACCCCCAAAUCUAAUGAUGACUCUGUUUCGAAACCCCCAAAUCUGAUGAUGAUGAUGAACUCUGUUUCGAACUCUGGUGGGGUGGUGGUUGUGGUAGGUGGCAGGUGGAUGGUGGUGACGGUUGUUGUGGUGGGGAGGUGGUGGUGGUGGUAGGGAAGUUAAAGAGAGAGAAAUAGAAUGUGAUAUAGAGAGAGAAAGAUUAUGUCUGUGUAUAUUUUUUUAAAGAUUAUUAAUAUUUUUUUUUAUUUUUUAUGAUUAUUUAUUUUAAUAUUUUUGGUAAAAUGACCAAGAUAUCCUCAUGUGGGGUCCAAUUGGUCAGACUUAACUAUGAAAAUUAACUGAGUUAGGACUAAAGGACAUAACGUGUAAGGGUUUGCAAACAUUAAGUAUG